GUGGAUUCUUGUUUAAUAUCCAGGUUAAGUUCCUGAAAAUUACAAACAUGAACCAUUAACUGAAACAAGAAAACUCAUAGGCCCAAUGUUAUAAGUCAGUCUUUAUGUUCCUAGAAUGCUUUCAUUUUGGUACUAGAAUUAAUACUAUUUUGUUACUUUUGUCAUUUAAUCAUUACUAUAUUAUACAAUAAUUUAAAAAACUCUCUUAUUAGGAUCAAAAAACAGAAAAUUGAUCAUGCAUGAUUCUGUAGUCCAAACUGUGCAAGCAUUCUAUCUCAUUUACCACUGUAUCAAUGGUGAUUCUCCUGUUCAUGUGAAUCAUCACCUCAAAAUGCUCCACAACCACAAUUGCAUCAGUCACACUCUUCACAGGCUGGCCUGGUUGAUCUUUAUCAAUGAUUUUUGUGACCCCAUUGAUGAACUUCUCCAACAAAUUGUGCACUGCUGUCAUGAUAAUGUGUGCUGCCCAUAAAAAGGAACAAGUUUUUUGUGAAUGUCUUUUGCAGACAUUCACAAAAACUGUUGUGCAGUUUUUGUGAAUGAAAGUUCUCUUCCUGUUCUUCAUUUGUAUUCUUCCAACACAGUCACCUAUGUUAUUGCAUGUAUGGCACCACCUGCAUCUAUGGAAGAUUUUCAACAAUUCUUUCCUGUAAUUCAGGAAUUGUUCUUUUAGACCAGGGGUCGGCAACCUUUCUGGAGUUAAGAGCCAUUUUUUUCCCGAUAG
rnacentral:lncRNA from 1 species